GGUACAGACUUGAAGUAGAGUUGACUAGUAGGAUCAGCUGACCAUAUUAAUAUACUCUACUUCAAAUUUGGGCUC
rnacentral:pre_miRNA from 1 species